rnacentral:rRNA from 1 species
GACGAACGCUGGCGGCGUGCCUAAUACAUGCAAGUCGAGCGGACCUCUUCGGAGGUCAGCGGCGGACGGGUGAGUAACACGUGGGCAACCUGCCUGUAAGACUGGGAUAACACCGGGAAACCGGUGCUAAUACCGGAUAAUCCUUUUCCUCACAUGAGGGGAAGCUGAAAGACGGUUUCGGCUGUCACUUACAAAUGGGCCCGCGGCGCAUUAGCUAGUUGGUGGGGUAACGGCCCACCCAGGCGACGAUGCGUAGCCGACCUGCGAGGGUGAUCGGCCACACUGGGACUGAGACACGGCCCAGACUCCUACGGGAGGCAGCAGUAGGGAAUCUUCCGCAAUGGACGAAAGUCUGACGGAGCAACGCCGCGUGAGCGAAGAAGGCCUUCGGGUCGUAAAGCUCUGUUGUCAGGGAAGAACACGUACCGGAGUAACUGCCGGUGCCUUGACGGUACCUGACCAGAAAGCCACGGCUAACUACGUGCCAGCCGCCGCAGUAACAC